UACAGAGGGUGCGAGCGUUAAUCGGCAUUACUGGGCGUAAAGCGCACGUAGGCGGCUUUUUAAGUCAGGGGUGAAAUCCUGGAGCUCAACUCCAGAACUGCCUUUGAUACUGGGAAGCUUGAGUCCGGGAGAGGUGAGUGGAACUCCGAGUGUAGAGGUGAAAUUCGUAGAUAUUCGGAAGAACACCAGUGGCGAAGGCGGCUCACUGGCCCGGUACUGACGCUGAGGUGCGAAAGCGUGGGGAGCAAACAGG
rnacentral:rRNA from 1 species